rnacentral:rRNA from 1 species
AUACGUAGGGUGCAAGCGUUAAUCGGAAUUACUGGGCGUAAAGCGUGCGCAGGCGGUUUUUUAAGACAGUGGGGAAAUCCCCGGGCUCAACCUGGGAAAUGCCAUUGUGACUGCAAGGCUGGAGUGCGGCAGUGGGGGAUGGAAUUCCGCGUGUAGCAGUGAAAUGCGUGGAUAUGCGGGGGAACACCGAAGGCGAAGGCAAUCCCCUGCGACUGCUGUAGUGCACAUGCACUCAUGCGUGGGGAACAAACACAAUUAGAUACGCUGGUAGUCCACGCACAAAAAGGUGUCCACGGUUUGUUGGUGAUUUCGCUUCUCAGUAACGUAGCUACCGCAUUAAGUUGACCGCCUGGGGAGUACGGCCGCAAGGUUAAAACUCAAAUGAAUCGACGGGG